rnacentral:rRNA from 1 species
UACGAAGGGUGCAAACGUUGCUCGGAAUUACUGGGCGUAAAGGGCUCGUAGGCGGCCAACUAAGUCGGAUGUGAAAUCCCCAGGCUUAACCUGGGAACUGCAUCCGAUACUGGAUGGCUUGAAUUCGGGAGAGGGAUGCAGAAUUCCAGGUGUAGCGGUGAAAUGCGUAGAUAUCUGGAGGAAUACCGGUGGCGAAGGCGGCAUCCUGGACCGACAUUGACGCUGAGGAGCGAAAGCUAGGGGAGCAAACGGG